CUGAUUGAGAUUUUAACACGAAGUGAGUGGCGAACGGGUGAGUAACACGUGGGUAACCUGCCCAGAAGUAGGGGAUAACACCUGGAAACAGAUGCUAAUACCGUAUAACAGAGAAAACCGCAUGGUUUUCUUUUAAAAGAUGGCUCUGCUAUCACUUCUGGAUGGACCCGCGGCGUAUUAGCUAGUUGGUGAGGUAAAGGCUCACCAAGGCAGUGAUACGUAGCCGACCUGAGAGGGUAAUCGGCCACAUUGGGACUGAGACACGGCCCAGACUCCUACGGGAGGCAGCAGUAGGGAAUCUUCCACAAUGGACGCAAGUCUGAUGGAGCAACGCCGCGUGAGUGAAGAAGGGUUUCGGCUCGUAAAGCUCUGUUGUUAAAGAAGAACGUGGGUAAGAGUAACUGUUUACCCAGUGACGGUAUUUAACCAGAAAGCCACGGCUAACUACGUGCCAGCAGCCGCGGUAAUACGUAGGUGGCAAGCGUUAUCCGGAUUUAUUGGGCGUAAAGCGAGCGCAGGCGGUCUUUUAAGUCUAA
rnacentral:rRNA from 1 species